ACGCUCGACACCUACGGGGGGCAGCAGUGAGGAAUAUUGGUCAAUGGGCGCUAGCCUGAACCAGCCAAGUAGCGUGAAGGAUGAAGGCUCUAUGGGUCGUAAACUUCUUUUAUAUAAGAAUAAAGUGCAGUAUGUAUACUGUUUUGUAUGUAUUAUAUGAAUAAGGAUCGGCUAACUCCGUGCCAACAGCCGCGGUAAUCUGAGCGGGCUGGCAAGGC
rnacentral:rRNA from 1 species